UACAGAGGUCUCAAGCGUUGUUCGGAUUCAUUGGGCGUAAAGGGUGUGUAGGUGGCGCCGUAAGUCGGGUGUGAAAUUUCGGAGCUUAACUCCGAAACUGCAUUCGAUACUGCGGUGCUUGAGGACUGGAGAGGAGACUGGAAUUCAUGGUGUAGCAGUGAAAUGCGCAGAUAUCAGGAGGAACACCGAUGGCGAAGGCAGGUCUCUGGGCCAUAACUGACGCUGAGAAGCGAAAGCAUGGGGAGCGAACAGG
rnacentral:rRNA from 1 species